UCCUUAAAGCUUUCACACGAGCCCAUAUUUGUCUCGCUGAUUUACCGUACACGGUGUCCUUUGCAAGUCGCAGUACAGCAAUCUUUAGCUCAGUGGUUUUCUUCGAUAUGCGUUCACCUGUCUCGUGAAUACGUUGUAUAUGCCUUUCCAAACCCAUAGCAAUAAGCUGCGAUUCAGCGGGAGAAAAAAUGGGGUACCUCGCGAUUCUGGAAGUGAAAGGUAUCCGAGGUCCAUAAUUCGAGGCGGAAAACGGGCAAUCUGACGACAAUUAUUCUUGCUGGAAUGAUAAGCCGGAAUUGAGAACAUGGAAAUGGUAGGAAACUUGAAAGCACUUACGUCAACUCAAUUUCGCUGUGUAUAAAUCUGUAAAGAGAAGUAACCAUUAAUAUCACUUUGUCGUUAUCAAUAUGUUACUUACUUCAUCAUCUCUUUAUUCUCAUUCCAAGCACGAAAGGAUGCAUCAUCCUUCGACCUCUCUUCUAACUCUGUCAACAUGUCUUUCGCUUUCAGAGCAAGCUUCCAAUAAAUC